GAUCAGGGGGAUGGACGCGGCGCGAAAUGGCGCGCUGGGCAGUGUGGAGAGCCUACCCGACAGCCCCAUAAGGCCUCGAUAUGUAGUCCAGGCUACUCCUGCCUUCUCCGAUAUGGUGGAACUUGCCUAUAAUCCCAACACUGAGGACAGGAGGAUUGUGAUUUGGAGGCCAGCUUGGAUCACACAGUGAGACCCUGUCUUUAAAAAAAAAAAAAAAAAUCAAAACCAAAAUGGUGACGAUGGUGAUGGUGAUGAAGAUAAUGACAGAUAACCAGCCCCUCAGAUGUAGUAGGAGACAUCCCACGGAUUCAGAAGACUUGAGGCACAGAACUAACAGGCAAAAAGCCAGGGUAAACAAACCUAAAGAAAUGUAUACUGAGACAUUUAAAUGUGUAACAGUGCAAGAUAAACCCUUGAAAGCAACCAGACAGAUGACAUCUGACAGACAAGAGGAAAGCGCUUUGAAUGACACUGGCAUCCGUGGUUAUGCACCUUGCUGAGAACAGUUAAGCUAGAAUCUCACACCUGGUGAGCGGGUCUUUAGGUUUGAAGAGGAAGUCAAGGUGUGGCCAGAUGAAGAGAAACUGAGAGAAGCUGAGAAAAAACAAACAGUAGGAAGCCCUUCUCCUCUGGGCUUUUCUUGAAGCAUU
rnacentral:lncRNA from 1 species